rnacentral:rRNA from 1 species
UACAGAGGGUGCAAGCGUUGUUCGGAAUUACUGGGCGUAAAGGGCUCGUAGGCGGCCAACUAAGUCAUACGUGAAAUCCCUCAGCUUAACUGGGGAACUGCGUGUGAUACUGGAUGGCUUGGAUUUGGGAGAGGGAUGCGGAAUUCCAGGUGUAGCGGUGAAAUGCGUAGAUAUCUGGAGGAACACCGGUGGCGAAGGCGGCAUCCUGGACCAAUAUUGACGCUGAGGAGCGAAAGCUAGGGGAGCAAACAGG